UAUUAAAGAAACGCUUCUAUACUGCCAGCGUGACCGCUUCCGGUCUCAGCUUUUUUCGCUUUCUUGGCCUCGUGAUACCUCUCUCUCUCUCUCUCAAACCCAGACGCAGAGACUCUUUUGUCUCUUAUUUCCAACGCAACACUCUGUAAUCCACUCUCUCUCUCCUACUCUUCUCUCUCUUUCU